rnacentral:rRNA from 1 species
GACGGAGGGCGCGAGCGUUGUUCGGAAUUACUGGGCGUAAAGCGCGCGCAGGCGGAUCUGCAAGUCGGAGGUGAAAGCGCAGGGCUCAACCCUGCGACGCCCUCCGAGACUGCGGGUCUGGGGACCGGUAGAGGCAAGUGGAAUUCCCGGUGUAGCGGUGGAAUGCGUAGAUAUCGGGAAGAACACCGGAGGCGAAGGCGGCUUGCUGGGCCGGAUCCGACGCUGAGGCGCGAAAGCGUGGGGAGCAAAC